rnacentral:rRNA from 1 species
UACAGAGGUCUCAAGCGUUGUUCGGAUUCAUUGGGCGUAAAGGGUGCGUAGGUGGCGAGGUAAGUUGGAUGUGAAAUCCCAGGGCUCAACCCUGGAACUGCAUUCAAUACUGCCUUGCUCGAGUACUGGAGAGGAGAUUGGAAUUUACGGUGUAGCAGUGAAAUGCGUAGAUAUCGUAAGGAAGACCAGUGGCGAAGGCGGAUCUCUGGACAGUUACUGACACUGAGGCACGAAGGCCAGGGGAGCAAACGGG